rnacentral:rRNA from 1 species
ACGCUGGCGGCAGGCCUAACACAUGCAAGUCGAGCGGUAGAGAGAAGCUUGCUUCUCUUGAGAGCGGCGGACGGGUGAGUAAUGCCUAGGAAUCUGCCUGGUAGUGGGGGAUAACGUUCGGAAACGGACGCUAAUACCGCAUACGUCCUACGGGAGAAAGCAGGGGACCUUCGGGCCUUGCGCUAUCAGAUGAGCCUAGGUCGGAUUAGCUAGUUGGUGGGGUAAUGGCUCACCAAGGCGACGAUCCGUAACUGGUCUGAGAGGAUGAUCAGUCACACUGGAACUGAGACACGGUCCAGACUCCUACGGGAGGCAGCAGUGGGGAAUAUUGGACAAUGGGCGAAAGCCUGGUCCAGCCAUGCCGCGUGUGUGAAGAAGGUCUUCGGAUUGUAAAGCACUUUAAGUUGGGAGGAAGGGCAGUUGCCUAAUACGUAACUGUUUUGACGUUACCGACAGAAUAGGCACCGGCUAACUCUGUGCCAGCAGCCGCGGUAAUACAGAGGGUGCAAGCGUUAAUCGGAAUUACUGGGCGUAAAGCGCGCGUAGGUGGUUUGUUAAGUUGGAUGUGAAAUCCCCGGGCUCAACCUGGGAACUGCAUUCAAAACUGACUGACUAGAGUAUGGUAGAGGGUGGUGGAAUUUCCUGUGUA